CUGGGUGAGGUAACAGUGCUAAGCAUUGAGCCACCGUGCCGCCAUUAUUGGAAAUCCUAGAGAGGCUAGGAUUUGAGGGCACAUAAUCUGAGAAUUGGAGUCAGACCUUUCAGAAAGCAAACUAGCAAAUGAACAAAGCGUGAUGCGGUUUGAGAACUCUUCCCGCAAAUGGCACUUGAUGCUGCAUCAACUGUCAAUUUGUCAACCUGAAGUUGGUAUUUCUCUCUUCAAAGUCAUAAAAAGAAUGAGUGUGGAGUGGAUCAAGGAGCGAGCUCCCAGAUCAGCUCCCACCUCCUUAAAAUGUGGCAGUGGGUCUAGAAGCUGAAUGGCGUCGUGUCGUUCCUGUGUUGGGCAAUGGUUUACUCUCUCGGGGAUGUGUGAAAGACCUGAUAGCACUGUAAUAUCAUCGAGCAGACCAGUCGAGUUGUAAGUGGGGUCAUUCAACUGGAAUUAAUCCAUUAUCACAUUAUUGUUUGAGCGAUGUUCCUGUGUCAAAUGAACAGCCUUGUUUCCGACAUGACAACAGUGAUUGCACUUGGCUGGACUGGGGCGUUGUUAGGUCCUGAAAGGCGUGAGAUACAGGCAUGUUGAUUCUUAAAGUCUGCGUGGCAGGUUCAGGGGAGCCGGAGAUUGGAAAGGAUGGCUGUGUGCCGGACUAUUUUCCGGCAUAUUUUUAAAAGCAGGGCCCGGUGCAUAGACACCUCGCAGCCGUCAGCUGAAAAUUACAGCUUGUUGCUGCACAUGGAUUGUCGGCGAGUCCUUCUUUUCCAACCUAUCACCGAACAUUGCAGAGCUGUUGUCAGACAGAGGCUCGGUUACUGCAGUAUCUGCUGAGAAAUCCCCCUCGGCAGCUGAAGGAACUUUGAACUGGCCGCCGUCAGCGUUCAACUGGAAUACAGAGUCCGAUUGCUUUCUGAAGGUGGCCCGAGGCCUUUCGGACCACUCUCUACAUCUGGACCGACGUCAGUCCCUGCCACUCCAACCAUUAAAAGAAAAGCUCCAGCAGCUCUUCAUUCUCUGAGGAUCGGAGGGAGAGAGAAAGACAGCAGGGUCCACAAAGCAGCAGACCUGUCGAAGCAAGAAGAUAGAGGAAGAUCUAACGCUGAAAUGAUUUCCCUGAUUCAAAUCAUGACCAAGAAGACUCAUGAGCUGGGUUGAAAGAUGUCUCCAGUCCUGUCCAACUAACACCAGGGGCCAAACUACUUCAGUCGAGAAUCUUCAACAGACAGAAGGGGGUUUAACGGAAAAGGGACAGGUCUGAUGAACUGGAUCUGGAAUGUUUGAUUCAACAGAUUGGUGAAUAAGGCAUAUGGAGCAAUGUUCUGUGGAUAUUCUUUCCUUUUUUUAAGAGUACCUAAUAUGCAAACUGCCCUGAUUGAGUUUCUGCAAAAUGCAAAAUCAAAGAUAAUGGACUAUGGGUGUGGUGGUUAUCAGUUUGUAAAGGCAGUUUUAUGUCUGGGGGCAAAUCUCACCGAAGUUCCAGAUUAGUGUUCUGUAAAUAAAACACAUUUCUUUCUCUUCUAACUUCAGACGAAUGAUCUUUUGAUCAGUUGAAGUAUUGCUGGAAUGAGAUACUGCUUUUGAAUGCUCCAAUAAAAUCGAUAAGGCUGA